rnacentral:rRNA from 1 species
AUCUUCCACAAUGGGCGAAAGCCUGAUGGAGCAAUGCCGCGUGAAUGAAGAAGGUCUUCGGAUCGUAAAGUUCUGUUAUUAGAGAAGAACAAGUCAAGGAGUAACUGUCUUGACUUUGACGGUACCUAACCAUAAAGUCACGGCUAACUACUUGCACUCACCCGCGGUAACACGUAGGGACCGAGCGUUUUCCGGAAUGAUUGGGCGUAAAGGGGGCGCAGGGGGUGGGAAAAGUCUGUGGUGAAAGCCCCCGCCUAAACCGGGGAGGGCAUUUGGAAACUGUCCAAAUUGAAGGCGAAGAGGGAAGUGGAAUUCCAUGUGUAGCGGUGAAAUGCGUAGAUAUAUGGAGGAACACCAGUGGCGAAGGCGACUUUCUGGUCUGUAAUUGACGCUGAGGCUCGAAAGCGUGGGUAGCGAACA